rnacentral:rRNA from 1 species
UCCCUAUCCGGCGCGGGCGUAGGAUAUUUGAGAGGAGCUGCCCCUAGUACGAGAGGACCGGGGUGGACGGACCACUGGUGUAUCAGCUGUCGACCAACGGCAUAGCUGAGUAGCCAAGUCUGGACGGGAUAAACGCUGAAGGCAUCUAAGCGUGAAGCCCCCCUCAAGAUGAGAUAUCCCCUCCUUCAAGGAGAUAAGAUCCCUUAAAGACGAUAAGGUAGAUAGGUUCAAGGUGUAAGUGCGGUAACGCAUUCAGCUGAUGAAUACUAAUAGAUCGAAGGUUUAUUCU